rnacentral:rRNA from 1 species
AGUGAACGCUGGCGGCGUGCCUAAUACAUGCAAGUCGAACGGAGAGGCGCUCGGGUGAGUAAUGUAUAGCUAAUCCGCCCUACACUAGAGUACAACAGCUGGAAACGACUGCUAAUACUCUAUAGUUUAGGAUGAGGCUAUAUUGUAUCAGCUAGUUGGUGAGGUAAUGGCUCACCAAGGCUAUGACGCAUAACUGGUCUGAGAGGAUGAUCAGUCACACUGUAACUGAGACACAGUCCUGACUCCUAAGGGAGGAGACAGUAGGUAAUACUGCUCAAGUGGAGAAGCCCUGAAGAAGCGACGCAGCGUAAAAGAUGACACUUUUCUCAGCGUAAUCUCCUUUUGUUAGGGAGGAGGUACCUAGCGAGUAAGCACCGGCUAACUCCGUGCCAGCAGACGCGGUAAUUC